AACAAUGUCAGAAGCUAGUAUGAGUAGCACCUGAACCCAAUCUUAGAAGCUAAACAGAGCCUGGGCUAGUUAGUACUUGGAUGUUAGACCACCUUGGAAGAUAAGCGGCUGUUA
rnacentral:rRNA from 12 species